rnacentral:piRNA from 1 species
UUGCUGCCUCUUCUUCCCUAUGCCAA